rnacentral:rRNA from 1 species
GGGUUAGUCGGGACCUAAGCUGAGGCCGAAAGGCGUAGGUGAUGGACAACAGGUUGAUAUUCCUGUACUACCGAUAACCGUUGGAGAGAAGGGAUGACACAGUAGGAUAAGCUAAGCACACUGUUGGGUAUGUGUGCCCAAGCAUUGAGGCAGUCAAAGUAGGCAAAUCCGCUUUGAUAAUGCUGGGAUGUGAUGGGGAGCGAAAUUUAGUAGCGAA